rnacentral:rRNA from 1 species
GACGAACGCUGGCGGCAUGCCUAACACAUGCAAGUCGAGCGAGCAGAUCCCUUCGGGGUGAAGCUAGCGGCGGACGGGUGAGUAACACGUGGGCAACCUGCCUCAUAGAGGGGAAUAGCCUUCCGAAAGGAAGAUUAAUACCGCAUAAGAUUGUAGCUUCGCAUGAAGUAGCAAUUAAAGGAGCAAUCCACUAUGAGAUGGGCCCACGGCGCAUUAGCUAGUUGGUGAGGUAACGGCUCACCAAGGCGACGAUGCGUAGCCGACCUGAGAGGGUGAUCGGCCACAUUGGGACUGAAACACGGCCCAGACUCCUACGGGAGGCAGCAGUGGGGAAUAUUGCACAAUGGGGGAAACCCUGAUGCAGCAAUGCCGCGUGAGUGAUGACGGCCUUCGGGUUGUAAAGCUCUGUCUUCGGGGACGAUAAUGACGGUACCCGAGGAGGAAGCCACGGCUAACUACGUGCCAGCAGCCGCGGUAA